UAAGUCCAACAUACUCCCAAGGUCAAGGAAAGGUACCAUUUAUUUUGCAAGUCAAACAUCAAAUUUGGAGCCAUGUAUAUAUAUAUAUAUAUAUAUAUUCUUUUAAGAAUUUAAAAUUUAUUUUUGAAGGCUUCAACUUUGGUUGAGCUCAACUUUUAAUGUAAAGUAGUCCUAAUUCUAUGAAAAUUUUGGUAUAAAGAAGGAAUAAUAUGAUUGGAUUUUGCACCUCAAAAAAGAAUGUAAAUAAGAAAAAAUCAAGUAAUAAGAAUAAGGAUAAGAAGGGAUAAUAAAAAAGCAUAUGUGUCCAAGAACCAUCUUGUCUUGAGUAGGAUGUCUGAGUGACUCUGACAACCACUUCGCAUUUUCUUCUCUCAAAAAACAAAACAAAUGAUCCUGUUUUCACAGGCUCAAUGUUCUUGGUCAUCCAGAUCUGAAAUCACCCAAAUCAUUAUUUAUUUUUUCUUUUCUUUUCUUUUUGGGAAAACAACACAAAUAACAAAAUCUACACAAAAACAAUAUGGAAAAGAAACGAUGUGUAAACGAUAAACCAAAAUCCACGAAUCGGUCAACAUGGACCUUGCAACGACUACACAAUCAGAAGUGCAAUCUGAUACUAAACCCACAUGCACCCUCUACUCCCACUUCCACUCAACUCAACUCAUCAAUCAGCUCAUCAAACUGAAACCAACAUUACAAUCGCAAACAAAAAAAAACAAAACAAAAGUCAAAACACAUCAACUGGGAAGAAGAAUCACUCAACUGGCUGCACAGCCUCACUCCAGUUCAUGUAACCAAGACCCAGUGAGAACAAACACGGUGUGGAAAUGAGGAAGACGGUGAUGGCGAUCAUGAAGCAAGCCAGGCUGAUGAGACUCCAUGAGAGUGAGUGUGAGCGACUGUGUGGGACUAAUCAGACAAUUGCAACGUACGAGGUACACCAUGUACACGAGCGUACUGCGCCAAGCUGUGGAGCCAGGCUGAUUGAUGUGGAUGAGAGACCAACCUUGAAAGUUACAGCGACUGGGCAGAGACUCGGAGCGAUGGAGAUGGAGAUCGUGAUCGAGAUCAAGGCAUGCUCUGCUCUCGUAGCACUGCAGCAGCAGCAGCAACAACGAUGGAGGUGGUGAGAAGUCUGCUGAUUGAUACCUGCUUGGGUACAGACCCACCUGCUGUAGCAGCAGCGGCGGCUGGAAAUAUUUGGUUGCGAAGGGGCUGACGCCAUGAUCUCAAAGGGGGUUUCUAACGGCUACUUCUUCACACGAAGGAGUGGACGGGGUGGGACUUGACAAGCGGGAGAACUGGGUGAUGGUCCAGGCUGGUGGAAGAGCCCUCACAACAUUGGUGUGAUGCAUCUGCAGCGUUUGUCAACGUUUCGUCCCGAUGGACCGUGCCUGAUCGCCGCCGUCGAUUGUUUGGUGCCCCCCUCGCAUCGCCCGUUGUUUUUCAGAAGCAUGGAGGAGAUGACUUUUGGUAAUCAACAAGUGACGACGAAGUUUCUGCCAUGUUUAUUACCUCAUCAUACAGAUGGCGAACAUGAUGAACAAAUCCAUUAUUGGCUCCAUCUUUUCAGUGACUUAUCAUUGUCCUCGGAAACGCUUCUCUAUCAUUGCGAGUGGGUUCGAUCAAGCUAAUCAACGCACGCUCCAUCAUUUCCCCCACUGCUUGCUGAUCACUCUAAUCCUCCACUGAAACGACGACAAUUAGGCUGAAUACACACAGUGCUGCGAGGCUCUCACUGUUUCAACACCGAACCCAGUUCGUCAAACAAGAGGACUUGGGGUAGAUUCCACCAGAGAACCCAUGGCAUUCGCAUUCAAGUGAAUGCAGGACUAGACAAGCCGAGCUCCAUCACGUCAUCGGCUUGCGCAUCGGGUAAACUCAGGGGGGUGUAGAAACCAGAAAUCAUUUGUUCGUUGGGAGGAGCAUCGAUCGAGGGGGACACAGUCCUCCCUUCUUCUUCUUUUUUUUUUUUUUUUUUUUUCCUUGGAGUGGAAAGUCGUGAAGACUCGGGGGGUCCAAGUGAAGUCAACCAAGUCCAUGAUACACAGACCCCUCCUUUUCCCCGUUGCUUCCUACGACGACGAGCACGCCGAUGCGGCACGGCUCACAACAAAUGGAAACAUGUCGCCGGCUCCGUCGUCGUCGUCGUCGUAUUGUGGGACUUCCUCGCACGCGGCACGCAACGUUAGUUCUGUCUGUCUCGGGGAAGAGGGCGGGUCUUGAAUAAGAGCUUGCGUAGAAACUAAUUUCUAUACUUUAUAAUCUAUUUAAAACUAAUGUAACAUGGGGAUUUUUCUUUUU